UACGUAGGGACCAAGCGUUGUUCGGAUUUACUGGGCGUAAAGGGCUCGUAGGUGGCCAACUAAGUCAGACGUGAAAUCCCUCGGCUUAACCGGGGAACUGCGUCUGAUACUGGAUGGCUUGAGUUCGGGAGAGGGAUGCGGAAUUCCAGGUGUAGCGGUGAAAUGCGUAGAUAUCUGGAGGAACACCGGUGGCGAAGGCGGCAUCCUGGACCGAUACUGACACUGAGGAGCGAAAGCCAGGGGAGCAAACGGG
rnacentral:rRNA from 1 species